AGAAGGAGAGGCUCCUGAAGAAAUUCAAACUCUGCGGCUGCAGCAGGACGUUUCUGAAUGAAGCUGAGAAUAUCUGCUGUUUGGAGAUACCACAGGUAGUAUCGCCACACCCAAAGAGAAAACUGGAACGGGGAUGGCCAAUACUGCAUCUGUGUAUGGUGCUGGGUCCACAAAGACUUUACGGCUGAGAGGAAUACACCAUUGUUACAGGUAUCCAGCAUAUUGCAGCUUUGUGAGCUGGUGCUGGGGCUUCC